GUGAGGAAUUUUCCGCAAUGGGCGAAAGCCUGACGGAGCAAUGCCGCGUGAAGGAUGAAGGCCUAUGGGUUGUAAACUUCUUUUCUCAGAAAAGAAUUAUGACGGUAUCUGAGGAAUAAGCAUCGGCUAACUCUGUGCCAGCAGCCGCGGUAAGACAGAGGAUGCAAGCGUUAUCCGGAAUGAUUGGGCGUAAAGCGUCUGUAGGUUGUUCAAAAAGUAUUCUGUCAAAGAUUAGGGCUUAACCCUAGAUAGGCAGAAUAAACUUUUAAGCUAGAGUUUGGUAGAGGCAGAGGGAAUUCCCGGUGGAGCGGUGAAAUGCGUAGAUAUCGGGAGGAACACCAAAGGCGAAGGCACUCUGCUGGGCCAAUACUAACACUGAGAGACGAAAGCGAGGGGAGCAAAUGGGAUUAGAAACCCCUGUAGUCC
rnacentral:rRNA from 1 species